AGCGAACGCUGGCGGCAGGCCUAACACAUGCAAGUCGAACGAACUCUUCGGAGUUAGUGGCGGACGGGCGAGUAACACGUGGGAACGUGCCCUUUGGUUCGGAAUAACUCAGGGAAACUUGUGCUAAUACCGAAUGUGCCCUUCGGGGGAAAGAUUUAUCGCCAUUAGAGCGGCCCGCGUCUGAUUAGCUAGUUGGUGAGGUAACGGCUCACCAAGGCGACGAUCAGUAGCUGGUCUGAGAGGAUGACCAGCCACACUGGGACUGAGACACGGCCCAGACUCCUACGGGAGGCAGCAGUGGGGAAUCUUGCGCAAUGGGCGAAAGCCUGACGCAGCCAUGCCGCGUGAAUGAUGAAGGUCUUAGGAUUGUAAAAUUCUUUCACCGGGGACGAUAAUGACGGUACCCGGAGAAGAAGCCCCGGCUAACUUCGUG
rnacentral:rRNA from 1 species